UGUAUGCAUAUAUGUGUGUGUGUGUGUGUGUGUGUGUGUGUGUAUGUGUGUGUAUAUAUACACACACAACACACAUAUAUAUGUCACAUAUAUAC
ensembl:miRNA Gm23636 predicted gene, 23636